AAAUGCGUAGAGAUGUGGAACAACGGCAGUGACGAAGGCGACUCUCUGGUCUGUAACCGACGCUGAGGAGCGAAAGCGUGGGGAGCGAACAGGAUUAGAUACCCUGGUAGUCCACGCCGUAAACGAUGAGUGCUAAGUGUUAGGGGGUUUCCGCCCCUUAGUGCUGCAGGUAACGCAUUAAGCACUCCCCCUGGGGAGUACGGUCGCAAGAUUGAAACUCAAAGGAAUUGACGGGGGCCCGCACAAGCGGUGGAGCAUGUGGUUUAAUUAGAAGCAACGCGAAGAACCUUACCAGGUCUUGACAUCCUAUGACAAUCCUAGAGAUAGGACGUCCCCUUCGGGGGCAGAGUGACAGGUGGUGCAUGGUUGUCGUCAGCUCGUGUCGUGAGAUGUUGGGUUAAGUCCCGCAACGAGCGCAACCCUUGAUCUUAGUUGCCAGCAUUCAGUUGGGCACUCUAAGGUGACUGCCGGUGACAAACCGGAGGAAGGUGGGGAUGACGUCAAAUCAUCAUGCCCCUUAUGACCUGGGCUACACACGUGCUACAAUGGACAGAACAAAGGGCAGCGAAACCGCGAGGUUAAGCCAAUCCCACAAAUCUGUUCUCAGUUCGGAUCGCAGUCUGCAACUCGACUGCGUGAAGCUGGAAUCGCUAGUAAUCGCGGAUCAGCAUGCCGCGGUGAAUACGUUCCCGGGCCUUGUACACACCGCCCGUCACACCACGAGAGUUUGUAACACCCGAAGUCGGUGAGGUAACCUUUUAGGAGCCAGCCGCCGAAGGUGGGACAGAUG
rnacentral:rRNA from 1 species